UACAGACUAGUAAUAAGCUAUGGAGGCCUCUCUAGGACACCUUGCCACACCUCCUGCCUGCUCUCUAGCCUCUCUAGAAUAUUUUCCCAUUCUGGACACUGUUAAAUUUGAUUUUACUUUACUGUUAUAGGAAGCUUUGGGUUAACUGUAACAUUACCUAACCCACAGCCGUUUCUUUUAGCUACAGAUAUGCUUGGCCCUGACAGGUUUCUGUCCCAGCAGAUAAGCAGAGUUGACUUCCUGUAUGUUGAAAUGGUUGCAGACCUGCUCAGUCCCUAUAUCCACUAACUCUGUGGAAGGAUUAAGCAUUCUAUUGCUUUAUAAUAGAGCAGCCUUCAAAAAUGGUGUCCUGUUUCUUUCCAGGUAAACCACAGCAUAGAAACUGGAUUUUGAGGGACAUGCAGCCCAAUUAGAAACUUUCCCCUUGACAGCUCUUCAGGGAACCAGUAUGAAAGGCAUUCCAAGGGGCAGUCAAACAGGAUUGCUAAUGGAAGCAGCACAGAUCUCAACGAUUUGCUGUCACUCGUAAACCUUCCGACAGAAAGAGGCCAAUCAGGAAACAGUUCCAGCCAGAUAUUACCACCUUCAGGGAAUCCACAGUUUUCUGCAUAGAAUUCAGACUUUUGGUAAAGUCGAAGAAAGAUAAGAGUUCAAAUAGCCUUCAAGGCUGUAAGCUAACUCUUUUUCCCUGGAGACGCAAGAACAAUCUUCUCUGGACUCUACAGGAGCAGGUUUUCCAGCUCAGCAAAAUGAACAGUGAUGGAUAUGGGCUGGCUCCCUCCCUCCCAGUUACAGACCCUUUCUGCAGAACCAGCCCUGUCUGUGAAUCCCAAGGGUGGGGAAUCAACAGAUCCAUUUUGGGAGCAGUUACCAAUUUGUUCCUCUGGAAACAGCCUAAUACAUGGCUCACUGCACUGCCCUACAGAGGAAAUUAGAGAGACUGAAGACUAUGUUUAAUGAGGCUCAAAGGAGACGGAAGAAACCCGGUUCUGCAGAGUCUGAACGUUGAGUUGAGUUUCCUCCAUUCCUCAAGUAAUCUCUACUUGAGAUUACUUGGCUCCAUCAGCUUUCCAUCUACAGGAUUUUAAUCCUCCUUCUAGUGGCCCAUCCACACCAUUUACUGAUACUGAAUGGCUUUUUUUUUUUUUUUUUAAACUCUCUGAGUAUGCCAAGUUUUAAAUCUUUGUCUUUUUCUGUGGAAAGUCUGUUCUUCCUCUGGGCCCAUCUCCUCAAGGUUGACAUCUCUUGAGAAAAUCUACUUUCCUUCUCCACCUUCUAGAAACUCUGGACUAUACAUAUUAAAUUACAUUAAAUGUCUGGUUGAUUUCUUCGUAUUUGUAGCUUGCUCUUUCUGACAUACACAGGUAUCACACCAUGUACCUAAACAAGACCAGGAGGUAAGUUUCAAGGACUCUCUGAUCUUAAAUGGGAAUCAUGGAUUUGAUUUUGGAAAAUUCUGCAUUUUCUAUUCCAAUAAUUUUGAAAAAUCCUGUAAUUUUCAGAUUUUUAUAAGCACAACAUGAGAAAAAAACCCUUGAGUUAGAAGAGAAUAUCACAUUAUCUUGAUGACUUAACAACUCUCAUUUAACAAUAGCAGCAAUACCUAUCUAGGUGGCUUGUCACAGUGAUAUGUCAUGAAGUACAUCAGGUUUGACCUUGUUCAAAAAUUCCUCAUUAAUGUGGUAAAACUCGGCAUGACUUUGACUCUCGGCCAUCAACUGUUAGAAGUGAUGAACAUUUUUUUCACAUUGUGAUUAUCUGCUGGCCUUAUCUCCCGACAUAAAACACUUAAUACAUCUGUUUACUGGAUUUUUUUGAAAUUGUGAAGGGCCGAACAGAGAGGAAAAUCUUCUUUCAGGAUGUAUGGCUUCAAAGUAUCCUAUGUGUGGCCCACAAAUUGCUGUAUUCCUUGGUGCAAGACUGUAGAGUCCAAAGGAAGAGUGAGAGGGCUCCUGUGAUGGAGGAAAUACUAAAGAUAUUUAUAGCAAUACACUCUUCUUUCCCAUCUGUCUAGGCUGUUGGAUGCAGAUGUUCAGAAGACAUGAGUCCAGAAGAAAGCUCUGGCUUUUGUCUUUCUCUGCUCUUCUACCAAGUCUACAGUAUGUCCCAGGUGUAGAUGUAAUACCACCUCAAAAUAAUUCUUAAGGUUGCUGGACCUGGGCCAUUUGCAUUGGAAUUCAUUGCUACUUGAAGACAGUAACAUUAAUAUGUGUGUUGACAUAAAAUUACUUCCUAGUAUUAUUCUUAUUCCUUCAUUAGCAUGAGAAAAACACUUUGCAAAUUUUACAUACAAGGCAGGAAAGGCAUUUAAAUCUGUAUUAUCUGGAAUGGUACUUGCAGUUAUUCAGGCCUAGAUUUGGUCUCAGAAUUGUGAAUACCAUGACUGACUGAUUACUCUUGUACUGGACUAUAGCUACUAUUUUUUCUGAGAUGUACACACAGAACUACUGUAAGGAAGAAAUUCAUUAGUGUCCCAACCUCUGUCAGUAUACAAAGUGAAAAGCCAUUUAUUUUAUCUGAGCAUUAUUUAUUACAAACUUUCUAACUUUGAUUCCAUUACAUCACUGCAGGCUCAUGGGGCAAGUAUUAUCAAAGUGAAAACAAGUCUGAGCCACUGGAAUGGUCUUUUUAUUUUUUGGAAGAAAAAACAUAUAUGUGAAUAGCUUGUAAGUUAAAUUCUUUAGAAUAUUCUGUUACUCUUCUCAUGUUGCCUCCAGAUAACAGCUUGUCAACAUUUUGAGGUAUUUAAUCUGGAUGAAGAUUUCUCUUCAAAUUGUUCAUGAAAAUCUUUAUGAAACUUUUUUCUUAGUUCUUGUUUAACACUUUAUACCCAUCUGCCUAUAUUCCACUCAAUACCAAUUUAUCCUUUCAAUCACAGUGAUAUAUUUAGUAGUAUACCUAUAGAAAUGCUCUUCAGCAUUUGAUACAUC